UUCAGUUCUUCUUUUUCCUCAGAGUAAUUUACUUUCUAUUGUUUCAGCUUGUGUUCUUGCCUGCACCCACUUUGUCCUUAAGACCAGUACAACAUUAUAAUACUUCUGGAACAAGACAGAGUGUUUCAGGCUGUUGUUGCAUGACGACUGUUUCUGGGUUGUUUGUGAGGAAAUUGCUUUGUGACGGAGGUCUGCUGGUGGUUGGACGCACUAGGACCCAGAGCACAAGCAAAUUAAGGACAACCAUCACAUAAGAGGCUUAGUGCAUCUAAUCCAUAGCGCUACACACACGGACACACACAGCAUUUCAUAAAUAUCCCAUUUUGAAACAAGCAUGCAUGCAUGUCCCAGAGGCAAACACUGCUAUUGUAUUUUCAUUUAGUUUUCAUUUUCUCCAAACUCUUUUAUUCCCCUUGUUGACCUCAACUUCCAUCCCACAUUGUUAGAGCACCGUAUGCUCCACUAUUUCUCUCAUCCUAUUUUCAUUAGCAAAGGGCCUUCAAUGAUUACAAAGCCAAGCACAAACUCGUUGCUUUUUUUUUUUCUAGACAAUUAUAGUCAGAACCAGAAAAAUACUUGGAAAGGAGAUCUUAUCCAUUUGCUGAGUGGAUCCAUCCAUAUCUUCCUGUUCAUCAGUUUCAUCAGCCUGUUUUUAUUGUUAAAUCAGUUGAACAAUCUCUCCCAAAGGAUCAAAACUGGAAAAGGAUUUCAAAGUGAAAUUGAAAUGAAGUUUGACUAAGUCAUGGCUUCUGAACAAUCACUCUAAUGAAAUGAUCCCGAGGCCCCGACUGAACAAAAACCCAUUUUCCUUUCUUACUGGAUAGUAAGAAAACAGACAUUUUCCCAGAAUCCCCUUCUCCAGGAGCCCUGCUUGUGUGCCUGCCGAGCCACUGUGUGAUGUUUAUGACCAUAGUUUGUGUGUGAUGCUGUUGAUAACGGUGAUAUCUCCAGUACUUGGUGGUCUGUGGUGUGAGAUGGACCAAACACCACCUCAUCCCACACACAACCAUGCAUUAUUUACACACACACACACACACUCUGGCACAUGCACUUUCCCAGCUGUUUGGUACCUCUGGCAUCACGUCGUUCGAUACACACAGUGUAUUUUUGUAUGUCUGUGUGCUCACCGUGUGUUUAUGGUGCAUGUGUGAGUGUGUGAGACAGUUACACACUCACACAUACACACACACACACACACACACGCACUGAGUUCAGCCGAUUUAUCAUAAUAUGCUUUAUCUGAAAAGUAAGUAUCUUACCUCGGGAUAAAGGGAGGAAAGAGGGGUUUGUGGCCAGAUUGACAGAGGAAGGGUGGAUGGAGAGAACCUAACGCUCUUUAGAGUGGAGCGCAGAGCCGGACCUUGACUUCUACUGCUGGAUUGAUCACUAUUGAUAAGGAAGAGUGCUGAUGUGAACGUGGUCAGCCUCUGAGGGAUGCGAGCGAAGCUGGCAGCGUGUCAUGCUUAAGCCUGCUCGGGGAGCCGUGUGUUUGAGGCAGAAGAGGGAGAAUCCGUCUGAACAUGAGUUCAUCUGUUCCUGAGCACGCAGUGAAGAUGAAGAGUCCAACAUUGGACUGGGGAGUCUUUAGCCUAUUAGUAUGUAAACAGUGUUUCUGACACGAUAAUCAUUUAACCUUUAGCUUUAGACCACGCUAGUAGACACAACACUGGCAUGGGCCUGACGUAAGCCAGGACAGGUCAGAUGGGAAGAAUUAUACCUUUUGUAUUCAUCUUUUCUUUAUCUUAGAAGACAUGGAGCUCUCCUGGUCAUAAGGUAAGAGGACAAGAGACAUUUAAGCAAAUAAAGAUCCAAUCUAACUUGGGACAUCUUCCACUUGUUGAUCUAAUGAGACAAGCCAGGCCUUUUCUCGCUCUCCGAGAGUCGCACACAUGCAACGCUGUCUAAAUCUUCACUGUGUCAGCAAACAAAGUGAGGAUCCACUGUUUUUAUACUCCCCAUCUUAGUUACAGGGUUAAUUGUGACUAAUUCAUUUGUCCAUAUCCCCAACUCCUCUUAUUGGCCUUAUUUUUUCCGGUCUGUCGUGAGGUUUGAUCUUCAACCUGAAGAAUUACAAUGUGUGGCUCCAACAAAGAUGUUUCUAGAAUAAGGUGGUUGGGCAGUUCAAUUUAAAGGCACUGAUUGCGAAUUAAACAGAUAAUAGAAAACAGUGAUGUUGUAUGACAUGUUACAAAAUCUGUUUUUGAAUUAUGUGAGAGUCUAUAUCCUGCUUUAAUAAAGUGAACACAUAAACAUAU